AGGGAGGACCUGUGCCUCCAGGUAAAGGAGAGGCAGAGGAGGGACAUCAAUGCUGCUGGGUAAUGUUGGACCAGGGGGCACCCCUGGCUUUCCUGGAACCAGAGGUUAUGAUAGAAUAAUUGGGGAGAAUGGUAUGCAAGGAAAAUAUGGGCCAAAGGGUGACAGAGGUCCUACCGGUGGACAAAGCGUUGAUAGGCCUAGAGGUGAUAAGGUACUGAAUUUCUUUUGCGCUUACUUUUGACAUUCAUUUGUGGAGUCAUUUUGCAUAUCGUACUUGUUUAGAAUUGUUGUGUGAGAUGUACUGAUGUUUUUUGGGGGCAGGGGGGUUUCACAGGGUGGAGAUGGUCGAGGGGGAUUUUCUGGUAUGCCAGGCCCUUUUGUAAGUGGAAAUAGUCUGUUUAAUUUGAUGGAUCAUUCUAAUCUGACUGUGGCUCAAUGUGUCUGUCUUGUCUACAGGGAGAGAUUGGGAAAUCAGGAAAGAGAGGAGCUGAAGGAGACCUGGUAUUAAGGUUCCUGUGUAACUACUCUUCUUAUUCUGUCUAUACAGCUUCCUGUCAUUGUCUCAGUAUAAUUUUUUUUAAAUCACCAUCAUCCCUAUUUUUGGUGAAGAAUUGACCUGAUAUUACAUUUGAGAUAUCCAGACCUCCAGUUGUUUUCCUGUCAGUAUGUUUAAGGUAUUGUGUUUUCAUCUGACCCUUGGAUUUGAAUCACACAGGGGAGGCCAGGAAUUCCAGGACUCACUGGACUGAAAGGGCUGAAGGUGAAACCUUUACUUCAGGGUGCAGUCUUGCCUCACUUGCACAUGCUGAUAUUACCACUAGAGGGCCAGAAUUCAAGUGAAAACUCAAGAAAAAUGGAAUGGAAUGGAACAUGUCUUUCUUCACUUAGGGACUUCAAGGCCAUCUUGGGGGUAGGGGACUGGAUGGAACACAUGGACCCCAUUGUAUCCCAUUGUUCUAUGCCAGAGAUGGUCCUGUGUCUAAUAUACUCAGAGGUGUCACACACAUACUGUAUGUGGUUUGACCAUGAUCCCUGUCCUCUAGGGACCCAUCAGAGGAACUGCAUCUGACGGGAAUUCCGGAUCUACCAGACUAAGGGUGGAGGUACGAGUAUGGGGGAGCACAGAGAUCCAUAGAGGGGACUUGGAGCUGUUGCCCCUCAGGGACGUUAGUGCGGAGGGAAGGGGAGAUCACUGGGACACAGACCUCAGAGCUGUCCUGGGACCUUUGUGCUUUUUGUAGCCUCCAUUUAUCCAGAGAGAAGAAGCAAGCACUGCCCAGUGUAUGGGGCAAGAUCCUUUGGCUGCAAUUCCUCAUCAGAACAAAAUAAUGUUGUCUCAUCAUGUUGUCUGUUCGCUGUAGCGCUUAUGUAUAAUUGCGAUAACAACUAG